UACGUAGGGGGCAAGCGUUGUCCGGAUUUAUUGGGCGUAAAGAGCGUGUAGGCGGCCUUUUAAGUCCUGCGUGAAAUCCUGCGGCUCAACCGCAGACGGUCGUGGGAAACUGGAAGGCUAGAGUGCGGGAGAGGAGAGUGGAAUUCCCGGUGUAGCGGUGAAAUGCGCAGAUAUCGGGAAGAACACCUGCGGCGAAGGCGGCCUUCUGGACGAUGACUGACGCUGAGAAGCGAAAGCAUGGGGAGCGAACAGG
rnacentral:rRNA from 1 species